rnacentral:rRNA from 1 species
UACAGAGGGUGCGAGCGUUAAUCGGAAUCACUGGGCUUAAAGCGCGCGUAGGCGGCCUUGCAAGUCGGAUGUGAAAUCCCCGGGCUUAACCUGGGAACUGCAUUCGGGACUGCAUUGCUAGAGUAUGGGAGAGGGAAGUGGAAUUUCAGGUGUAGCGGUGAAAUGCGUAGAUAUCUGGAGGAACAUCAGUGGCGAAAGCGACUUCCUGGACCAAUACUGACGCUCAUGUGCGAAAGCGUGGGGAGCAAACAGG